CUAUAUCCUGCAUUUCAGUUCUCAAUAGAUUAUAUGCUUUCGUGCAAUUGAGCUCUGUGUGAUCGCACAAGGUCUAAGGAAUGUCAAUGUAUCGCGAAAUAGGGAGAAGUACUGCACCUUAAAUAUAGGUUAAAUGAAAACCAUUUAAUAAGCUUUAAGUAAGCAAAUAAACUCUUAACCUCUCUACGUUGUUAAAGGCAAAGGAGAAGUUGAGUCAUGGAACCAACUGGAUAAAAUGCGCUAAGGGAAAGAAGGAAUGUCAAAAAUAAUUAUAAUACGUUAACUGCCGUUUUUAAU